rnacentral:rRNA from 1 species
GAGUUUGAUCUUGGCUCAGGAUGAACGCUAGCGGCAGGCCUAACACAUGCAAGUCGAGGGGUAUAGGUUUUCGGACCUAGAGACCGGCGCACGGGUGCGUAACGCGUAUGCAAUCUACCUUUUACAGAGGGAUAGCCCAGAGAAAUUUGGAUUAAUACCUCAUAGUAUAAUGAUUCGGCAUCGAGACAUUAUUAAAGUUCCAACGGUAAAAGAUGAGCAUGCGUCCCAUUAGCUAGAUGGUAAGGUAACGGCUUACCAUGGCGACGAUGGGUAGGGGUCCUGAGAGGGAGAUCCCCCACACUGGUACUGAGACACGGACCAGACUCCUACGGGAGGCAGCAGUGAGGAAUAUUGGUCAAUGGGCGCAAGCCUGAACCAGCCAUGCCGCGUGCAGGAUGACGGUCCUAUGGAUUGUAAACUGCUUUUGUACAGGAAGAAACAGUUCUACGUGUAGAACCUUGACGGUACUGUAAGAAUAAGGAUCGGCUAACUCCGUGCCAGCAGCCGCAGUAA